GACGUUCAAAGAAGGGAAUAUAUCGGUGGUUCGAGAUCAUGCACGAGGAUAUUGGCGCGCUUUGCUGAGGCUGCCGGCAGCACUAUACACUGCGUGCCCUUUCCUUUCAAUCUUUCUUUAUCGAAAACUUGUAUCUCGGAAGGAAGAAUUCGAUGGCGGUGACGAAAAUCGAAGAAUUGAAUUUGAUGCUUCGGAAGUGGCGUCUCGGCACAAUGGCAGCUAAGCGUAGCGGUACAAGACUGUAGAAGGGGGAGAAGGGUGCCCAGUACUGCGAGGGGAGAGGUACGGUCGCACAUUAAUUAUUUCUCUCCUCACCCCCCGUAGCCGGGUCUCUCUACCCCCUACCACACGAGUCAGCCACUCACCCACACGAACGGCAUCGGGAACGGGCUAGAAACCAAUCUCUCUUUCUCUUUUCCUCCGUACUCCCUUCCCUACAAAUAUCUCUCUCUCUCUCACUCGUUCCUCUCUCUCUCUGCGGAUUUUCCCGAAUUUCGUCUCCGUACUUCUCUCCCUUUCCCUCACUCCUCCCUCGCACCCUUAUGCCCUACGGGAAAUCGAUUUUUCGACGGAGUCCCCACUGCCGGCCUUGCCGACCAGAGGGACGAAGGAGUUGCAAUGUUUUUGCAACGUAUUUCAUAUCGUCCACGCAUCUCGUAAUUACUAUUGUAUCAAGAAACCAAGCGCGACCUCUAGAUUAUCUUAAUGGCCAAAGAAUUAACUAGUUCACGGAGUUUCUCUCGGAUCUCCCGCCUUGCACACUUUCCAGAUCACGUGACGGUGUAAGGAUCUCUAAACUCGAGAAUUUAUGUCAACAUGUUUCAUUCACGUUUUAUGACAUUACUGUUUUACUAAUGGGGAAAUAAUAAAUGAAAAAUAAGUAAUGUAUAAUUGCAUUGAAAUUUGAUUUUUGUCGACAAAUGUAAUAUAAUUAUAUUUUUUUUUUAAUUUCCAGUUAUGAAUCAUUAUAAAAAUUGUCCAUAUUCUUUUCAAUUGUAUUUUGUUUUCAUAUGUUGUAAUUGAAAACUAUAAAACAAGUGUAAUGUGUGAAUUUUAAAGCGACCUACGACAAUCUUUGACUUUCUUCGACUUAACCUAAUAAAUGUAUUCCACCGUUAUAAUAUAUCGGCACACUAAUUUUAUUUUCGAGUAAAUUACUUGAAAACGAACUAAAUUACAACAGGAACUAUACUUUAUCGCUUGUAUUUAACCAAGCUCACGUGCAAACAAUUAAAAAAGUAACCGUAAAAAUAGAGAAAGCUACAUGAUCAUGUAACAGUACUUCGAUGUCUCAUGUUUCUAUUCUGAAUAUAUUAUUCUAACAUUACGUUAUCAAUAAAAAUAUUGGAAUUCAUUAUUCCAAGGAAAAAAGUUUGAAUCAUUCAAUGAUAGUUAACGCUAGAAGCACCACAGUUGUCAAAAUUCGUAACUCUUUGUAAAUUUUAUAAAUUUAUAAUAGUGCAUUUUUAGAAACUUCUUGUAAUUUUUAAUAAAGUAUAUGGGGAUGCAUUUUUUUAUUUCCAUUAUACUCUUUACUCUGAUUGCAUAAUUUCGCUUUAAUUUUCUUUGGUAGAAAUUUUGUAUUUUAAUCGUCGGUAGUUCUAGCGUUAAUCAGGCGUGCAGUUGAAAAUAUCGGUGGCUGAGUGUCGAACGAGGCAUGCACGAACGCUGACUGGCGACGUGUGACGCCAGCUCGCACGACAACGGCGACACGCGACUCUUUA
rnacentral:misc_RNA from 1 species